GUCCCGGCUGUAAACGAUGGACACUAAGUGGGGGAAGGCUUGCUUUUCUCUGCUGCAGCUAACGCGUUAAGUGUCCCGCCUGGGGAGUACGGCCGCAAAGGUUAAAACUCAAAAGGAAUUGGACGGGGGCUCGCACAAGCGGUGGAGCAUGUGGUUCAAUUCGAUGCAACGCGAAGAACCUUACCCGGGCUUGAAGUGGAGGUGGUAGGAGCCGGAAACGGCAACGACCCCGCAAGGGGAGCCUUCAUCAGGUGUUGCAUGGCUGUCGU
rnacentral:rRNA from 1 species